UACGAAGGGGACUAGCGUUGUUCGGAAUCACUGGGCGUAAAGCGCACGUAGGCGGAUAUGUCAGUCAGGGGUGAAAUCCCGGGCUCAACCUCGGAACUGCCUUUGAUACAGCAUGUCUUGAGUCCGAUAGAGGUGGGUGGAAUUCCUAGUGUAGAGGUGAAAUUCGUAGAUAUUAGGAAGAACACCGGUGGCGAAGGCGGCCCACUGGAUCGGUACUGACGCUGAGGUGCGAAAGCGUGGGGAGCAAACAGG
rnacentral:rRNA from 1 species